AAUGAAGAGUUUGAUCCUGGCUCAGGAUAAACGUUGGCGACGUAUUUUAUGCAUGCAAGUCGAACGGUUCUUCGGAACCGUGGCGAACGGGUGAGUAACACGUAGGUACCUGCCCAGAAGUGGGGGACAACCCUCCUAACGGAGGACUAAUACCCCAUGUGAUCCGCUUUGCGGAUGAAAGCCUUCGGGCGCUUUUGGAUGGGCCUGCGGCGGAUUAGCUUGUCGGUGGGGUAACGGCCUACCGAGGUGACGAUCCGUAGCUGGUCUGAGAGGACGAACAGCCACACAGGGACUGAGACACGGCCCUGACUCCUUAGGGGGGCAGCAGCAAAGAAAAUUGCGCAAUGGGCGAAAGCCUGACGCAGUAACGUCGCGUGGGGGAUGAAUGCCUUCGGGUUGUAAACCCCUUUUGUGAGUGAAGAAGAUCUGACGGUAACUCACGAAUAAGUCACGGCUAACUACGUGCCAGCAGCCGCGGUAAUACGUAGGUGGCGAACGUUGUCCGGAUUCACUGGGCGUAAAGCGCGCGCAGGCGGAUCGGAAAGUCGAUAGGUGAAAUCUCCAGGCUCAACUUGGAGAGGCCCUGCGAUACUCCCGGUCUAGAGGCACCUAGAGGAGAGUGGAAUUAACGGUGGAGGGGUGGAAUCCGUAGAUAUCGUUAGGAACACCAGUGGCGAAAGCGGCUCUCUGGGGGUGUACUGACGCUGAGGCGCGAAAGCGUGGGGAGCGAACGGGAUUAGAUACCCCGGUAGUCCACGCCGUAAACGAUGAGCACUAGGUGUUUGGGGUAUCGAUCCCCUGAGUACCGAAGCUAACGCGAUAAGUGCUCCGCCUGGGAACUACGGCCGCAAGGCUAAAACUCAAAGGAAUUGACGGGGGCCCGCACAAGCAGCGGAGCGUGCGGUUUAAUUCGAAGAUACGCGAAGAACCUUACCAGGGCUUGACAUGUCGUUGACCGACUAUGAAAAUAGUUUUUCCUUCGGGACAGCGUCACAGGUGCUGCAUGGUUGUCGUCAGCUCGUGCCGUGAGGUGUUGGGUUAAGUCCCGCAACGAGCGCAACCCUUGCCGUGUGUUGUAUUUUUCACACGGGACUGCCCGGAGAAACCGGGAGGAAGGCGAGGACGACGUCAAAUCAGCAUGGCCCUUACGUCCUGGGCGACUCGCACGCUACAAUGGGUGGUACAGACCGUCGCGAUACCGCGAGGUGGAGCUAAUCGGACAAAACCAUCCUCAGUACGGAUUGCAGGCUGCAACUCGCCUGCAUGAAGCCGGAGUUGCUAGUAAUCGUAGGUCAGCCAUACUACGGUGAAUACGUUCCCGGGCCUUGUACACACCGCCCGUCACGUCAUGGAAGUCGGCAACACCUGAAAUCGCUAAGCCAACCUUCGGGAGGCAGGCGCUCAAGGUGGGGCUGGUAACUGGGACGAAGUCGUAACAAGGUAGCCGUACCGGAAGGUGCGGCUGGAUCACCUCCUUUCU
rnacentral:rRNA from 1 species